GCCGUUGAGGUGUAACUGGUUUGCGCAUCAGUCUUCCAAACUGACAGAGCGGGUUCGAGUCCCGUCGACGGCUCCA
rnacentral:tRNA from 1 species